ACUUGUCUAGCUCAGUUGGUAAAAUUGAAGACUUUUAACCUUGUGGUUGCGAGUUCGAGCCCCACGGUAGGCG
rnacentral:tRNA from 7 species